GGUUGAUCCUGCCAGUAGUGAUAUGCUUGUUUCGAAGAUUAAGCCAUGCAAGUUCAAGUUUAAAUCGUUGAUGAGACUGCGAAAAGCUUAUUAAAACAGUUAGAAUUUACUCAUUAGAAGUUAUAUGGAUACCAAUGGUAAUUCUGUUGAUAAUACAUGCGUAAGAAACGUUGUAACGAAUACUAUCAAGGGUUGAUACGAACGUUUUGUAAAUUGCUAUUAGCGAUACAAUGAUCAGCUUUCUGACCUAUCAGCUGCCGUCGGUAAGGUCGUGGCUUACCGAGGCAAUAACG
rnacentral:rRNA from 1 species